UGUAUUUUGGGUCACACAUGUCCUGUAAAAACAUGGCCAAAAGCACAGGCUUACCACACAGGUGUGCUUUGGAAGUCGCUAGUAAAAACGAUUUUAAAACUUUUAGAAACCGCCAAGCUCUGAGGAAAUGCUUAUUAAAGACUCAUAAAAUUGCAAAAAAUGAGGGAAAAACAUCCAGUAAACUUUUCUGUAUGUGCUUUAAGGAAGUCAGUUUAGCCUCUGUCCAUGUGGGCUAGGUUGUGGUGAACUCAGGCAAGAAAAACAAGCUUGGCCAUUGUUUCACAAUCGAGUGCUAAGGAGAGUAAAGAACAGCAGUUCAAUAUUCACGAGGUUGUCCAUGAAGGCAGUCAUUUCCACCCUUCACCAUCAUAAUUCUAAAUUUUCACAAAUGAUUAAAACCUUUGCAAACUAAUCCCCCAGAUUGUGUCCAUGAGCUCGAUGAUAAACUGAGUCUGAAUGCUAUCAGAUGACAUUGGAAAUGGCCCGUGAGUUGUUUCUGCCAGGUACCUGGACCAUGAGGCAGUGACUGAGAUUGUUUCAUCUUCAUUAACUUUAGGGAAAAUCCUAGGUACAUGGUCUUAGAGAUCCUGAUACAGUCAGUUGUUGGAUAUCCCUCGAAGAAGUUAUGGUUUUGCAAAUGUCAAAAGGAAAAAAAAAAAUUUCCUUCAAUUUUAUAAUAUAGGUAGAAUACUUAACUUUGUAACUUUAAAAUUACUUAAGCUAACUCAAUCAGCUCAAUUCUGUAUAACCACCUUAUUUCUGAGCAUAUAGUGACUUUAAUGUUCAUUCAGUAACAGUUUUCAAACCUGUGUAAGCCCAAGAAUCUCCUAGGAUGAGAUUGUUAAAAAUGCACACACCUGAGCACAGUCCUACUUUUAAGGAAUCAAAAUCUCUAAAGGAGAGUCCUGAAUAUAUGCAGUGUUUUAAAGCAUUUUGGGUACUGCUUAUGAUCAAGCAAAUUUGGGGAUUCCAACUUAAUUGGAAUAGAUUUGAUGUUGG